rnacentral:rRNA from 1 species
GCCAGACUCCUACGGGAGGCAGCAGUGAGGAAUAUUGGUCAAUGGGCGGAAGCCUGAACCAGCCAAGUCGCGUGAGGGAAUAAGGCCCUACGGGUCGUAAACCUCUUUUGCCGGGGAGCAAGGGCGGGGACGUGUCCCGGCCCGGAGAGUACCCGGAGAAAAAGCAUCGGCUAACUCCGUGCCAGCAGCCGCGGUAAUACGGAGGAUGCGAGCGUUAUCCGGAUUUAUUGGGUUUAAAGGGUGCGCAGGCGGAGGUGCAAGUCAGCGGUCAAAUUGCGGGGCUCAACCCCGUACUGCCGUUGAAACUGCAUCCCUUGAGUGCGCGAGAAGUAUGCGGAAUGCGUGGUGUAGCGGUGAAAUGCAUAGAUAUCACGCAGAACUCCGAUUGCGAAGGCAGCUUACUAAACUGCCACUGACAUUGAUGCUCGAAAGUGUGGGUAUCAAACAGGAUUAGAUACCCGUGUAC